rnacentral:rRNA from 1 species
AACGAACGCUGGCGGCGUGCUUAACACAUGCAAGUCGAACGCGAAAGCGGCUUCGGCCGUGAGUAGAGUGGCGCACGGGUGAGUAACGCGUAGAUAACCUGUCUUCAUAUUCGGGAUAACACGCCGAAAGGGGUACUAAUACCGGAUACGCUCGCAUUUCAUAGGCAAGGCGAGGAAAGGUGGCCUCUACAUGUAAGCUACUGUAUGAAGAGGGGUCUGCGUACCAUUAGCUGGUAGGUGGGGUAAUGGCCUACCUAGGCGACGAUGGUUAGCGGGUCUGAGAGGAUGAUCCGCCACACUGGCACUGGAAUACGGGCCAGACUCC